rnacentral:rRNA from 1 species
GGCUCAGGAUGAACGCUAGCUACAGGCUUAACACAUGCAAGUCGAGGGGCAGCAUUUUAGUUUGCUUGCAAACUAAAGAUGGCGACCGGCGCACGGGUGAGUAACACGUAUCCAACCUGCCGAUAACUCGGGGAUAGCCUUUCGAAAGAAAGAUUAAUAUCCGAUAGCAUAUUGAGAUCGCAUGAUUUUGAUAUUAAAGAAUUUCGGUUAUCGAUGGGGAUGCGUUCCAUUAGUUUGUUGGCGGGGUAAUGGCCCACCAAGCCUUCGAUGGAUAGGGGUUCUGAGAGGAAGGUCCCCCACAUUGGAACUGAGACACGGUCCAAACUCCUACGGGAGGCAGCAGUGAGGAAUAUUGGUCAAUGGACGAGAGUCUGAACCAGCCAAGUAGCGUGAAGGAUGACUGCCCUAUGGGUUGUAAACUUCUUUUAUACGGGAAUAAAGUGAGGCACGUGUGCCUUUUUGUAUGUACCGUAUGAAUAAGGAUCGGCUAACUCCGUG